AGAGUUUGAUCCUGGCUCAGGAUGAACGCUGGCGGCGUGCUUAACACAUGCAAGUCGAACGAACCUUCGGGUUAGUGGCGGACGGGUGAGUAACGCGUGAGAAUCUGCCCUCAGGAGGGGGAUAACGGCUGGAAACGGCCGCUAAUACCCCAUAUGCCGCGAGGUGAAAUGAAUUUCGCCUGAGGAUGAGCUCGCGUCUGAUUAGCUAGUUGGUGGGGUAAUGGCCUACCAAGGCAUCGAUCAGUAGCUGGUCUGAGAGGAUGAUCAGCCACACUGGGACUGAGACACGGCCCAGACUCCUACGGGAGGCAGCAGUGGGGAAUUUUCCGCAAUGGGCGAAAGCCUGACGGAGCAACGCCGCGUGAGGGAUGAAGGCCUCUGGGCUGUAAACCUCUUUUAUCAAGGAAGAAGAUCUGACGGUACUUGAUGAAUAAGCCACGGCUAAUUCCGUGCCAGCAGCCGCGGUAAUACGGGAGUGGCAAGCGUUAUCCGGAAUUAUUGGGCGUAAAGCGUCCGCAGGCGGCCCUUCAAGUCUGCUGUUAAAAAGUGGAGCUUAACUCCAUCAUGGCAGUGGAAACUGUUGGGCUUGAGUGUGGUAGGGGCAGAGGGAAUUCCCGGUGUAGCGGUGAAAUGCGUAGAUAUCGGGAAGAACACCAGUGGCGAAGGCGCUCUGCUGGGCCAUCACUGACGCUCAUGGACGAAAGCCAGGGGAGCGAAAGGGAUUAGAUACCCCUGUAGUCCUGGCCGUAAACGAUGAACACUAGGUGUCGGGGGAAUCGACCCCCUCGGUGUCGUAGCCAACGCGUUAAGUGUUCCGCCUGGGGAGUACGCACGCAAGUGUGAAACUCAAAGGAAUUGACGGGGGCCCGCACAAGCGGUGGAGUAUGUGGUUUAAUUCGAUGCAACGCGAAGAACCUUACCAGGGUUUGACAUCCUGCGAAUCUCUUGGAAACGAGAGAGUGCCUUCGGGAGCGCAGUGACUGGUGGUGCAUGGCUGUCGUCAGCUCGUGUCGUGAGAUGUUGGGUUAAGUCCCGCAACGAGCGCAACCCACGUCUUUAGUUGCCAGCAUUCAGUUGGGCACUCUAGAGAGACCGCCGGUGAUAAACCGGAGGAAGGUGUGGAUGACGUCAAGUCAUCAUGCCCCUUACAUCCUGGGCUACACACGUACUACAAUGCUACGGACAAAGGGCAGCAAGUUCGCGAGGACAAGCAAAUCCCAUAAACCGUGGCUCAGUUCAGAUCGUAGGCUGCAACUCGCCUACGUGAAGGAGGAAUCGCUAGUAAUCGCAGGUCAGCAUACUGCGGUGAAUACGUUCCCGGGCCUUGUACACACCGCCCGUCACACCAUGGAAGUUGGCCACGCCCGAAGCCGUUACUCCAACCCUUGUGGAGGAGGACGUCGAAGGUGGGGCUGAUGACUGGGGUGAAGUCGUAACAAGGUAACC
rnacentral:rRNA from 1 species